rnacentral:rRNA from 1 species
GAUGAACGCUGGCGGCGUGCCUAAUACAUGCAAGUCGAGCGAACGGACGAGAAGCUUGCUUCUCUGAUGUUAGCGGCGGACGGGUGAGUAACACGUGGAUAACCUACCUAUAAGACUGGGAUAACUUCGGGAAGCCGGAGCUAAUACCGGAUAAUAUUUUGAACCGCAUGGUUCAAAAGUGAAAGACGGUCUUGCUGUCACUUAUAGAUGGAUCCGCGCUGCAUUAGCUAGUUGGUAAGGUAACGGCUUACCAAGGCAACGAUGCAUAGCCGACCUGAGAGGGUGCUCGGCAACAGUGAAACUGAGACAGGCCCCAGACUCCUAGGGGGGGCAGAAGGAGGGAACUUUCGGAAAGGGGGGAAGCCCUGACGGAGCAACGCGGGGGGAGUAAUGAGGGUCUCGGGAUCGAAAAACUCUUUUAUGGGGGAAAAACAAAUGUGAAAUUACAUUUGCACUUCUUGAGGGUACUAAAUAAAAAAGCCAGGGCAAACUCCGGC